rnacentral:misc_RNA from 1 species
UACUGAAAGGUUAUGGGCC